NNNNNNNNNNNNNNNNNNNNNUCAGCUGAUGGAAAGUUUGACUUAACACCCACAAAGCCAGAGGUUCCACCCCCAGCACCAUACAAGUCAAGGAAUAGUGUACACCCAUACAGCUAGAACUCCAGUGGCAGGAGGAUGAGAGGUUUAAGGUCAUCCUUGGUGACAUACUGAGUUUGAGUAUGAGACUACAUGAGACCUUCCCACCAAGCCAAACCAGGCCAUCGAGAUGGCUCAGCAGACCCUUACUGGUGUUGAAGGACUGCACGAGGUCUGCGCUGGCUUGGCAUGUGUACCCCUUCUCUCCAAGCUAGGUUGGAAAGUGUGUUCUGAGAUGCCCAGCAGAGGUGAGUUUCUCUGUGUAUCUAUCCCCAGCUGCCCUGGACUUUGCUCUGCAGACCAGACUGCCCUCUGACACCACCCAGGGGCAUAACUCCUGAUCUCAAAGUUUUCUGAGUGGAAGGUGUCAGCUACAGCAACCAGCUCUGUGAACUGUGCAGAAGACAGGCCCUCAGAAGCUCAUCCUGGAAGGUCCCCUGUCCGAUGUGGUCCCCAUUGACAGGAAAUAGGGUGCACAGGAGCCUCUGCUUGUAGGAAUCUGGCUUUGCUCGUGUGGAAUACCAUUGGCUCCAGCUGGGUCUGUCAAGGCCCCCUCCGCCGCAUCACUGGACCUCAUCAGCCAACCUCAGAAGCCUGGCGCAGGUGUUCAUCAAUUGAUCGGCUUUUUAAUUCUUUGAGACAUGGUUCUGAUGCUGUAGCCCAGGCUGGCAUCCACAUCACAACAAUUCCCUUGCACCUCCCAGGAGUGGAGUUCACAGCCUUGCAGGCUUCUGAAUUAUGAAGAAAGGUUCCCUAUCGGCUUCCAGAUGUCCUGUGGAUAGAUGUCCUGCAGCUCUUUGUGGCAACGAUAGGCUAUGUUUUUGUCUCGACACUGAGGGCUUUUGUUCGUGAUGGUGGGCAGUAAGUGGCCAUGGGAAGCAAUCUCAGGGCAUGGCAGGUCCAUAACACUGAUGUACCCGCCUGUGUUGCGGAAACUGCUCUCAUGAUUAGCUGGGGAAGCAAAGGCUCAGAGGGGCCUUUCCCCAGGAUCAGGCCAUCUGAAGAAAGCCAUUGGUCACUUCUAUGCAAGUGGGCCUCUUGUGAGGCCAGGCUCACACCAAAGACCCCAGACCAGCAAAAGCAAAAGAGCCUGUCCUAAAGGCCUGGUUCCAACGCUUCCCGGUCAUGUGCUUACCCCUUCAUCCCUGUCUGCUGGUAGAGGGAUGCUACAGUUACAAACAAGGGCACUCAGGUCCCUUGGGAGCGGGGAGCUAGAGAGGGCUCAGUGGUUAGGAACAUUUGUUGUCCUUGAAGAGGGCCAAGGUGUAGUUUCAAGUACCCACCUGAUGGAUCCCAACCAUCUGUAACUCCAGUUUCAGGGGUUCAGGGGCUGUCUUCUGACUUCCUCAGGUACAAGGCACAUACAUGAUGGGAUGCAUAUACAUGCAUGCAUGCAUGCAUACAUAUAUGCACACACACAAGUACAUACAUACAUAUGUACAUACAUACAUACAAAUAUAUGUAUACAUACACAUGCAUACAUACAUACAUACAUUCAUACAUAAAUACAUACAUACCUGCAAGCAAAACACUCUUAAAAUAAAAUUUAAAAAUCUAAAACAGGUCUCUUCCUGGGACAACUGGAUGUUGAGAAUUCAUGAGCACUAGUGCCCUGUGUUACCUCCCUUCCUCCCUCCCUCACUCCCUCCCUCCCUUCCUCCCUCCCUCCCUCCCUACCUCCUUCCCUCCCUCCCUUCCUCCCUCCCUCCCUUCCUUUCUUUUUUGAGACAUAUUUUCCCUUUAUAAUCCUUGCUGACCUGGGCCUCUCUUUGCAGACCAGGCUGGUUCUUGAACUCAGAGACUCACCUCUCUCUCUGCCCCUUGAACGCUGGGAUUAAACACACGUGUGCCACC
ensembl:processed_transcript